GACGAACGCUGGCGGCGUGCUUAACACAUGCAAGUCGAACGAAGUGGCGAACGGGUGUGUAACGCGUAAUCAACCUGCCCUUCAGAGGGGGACAACAGUUGGAAACGACUGCUAAUACAGCAUACUGAAGGAGGGGAUUGCGUCUGCUUAGCUAGUAGGAGGGGUAACGGCCCACCAAGGCGAUGAUCAGUAGCCGGGCUGAGAAGAUGAACUGGCAAAAGGGGACUGGGGAACGGCCCCGACUCCUACGGGAGGCAGCAGUGGGGAAUCUUCCGAAAUGGACGAAAGCCUGACGGAGCCACGCCGCGUGAUUGGUGACGGCCGUCGGGUUGUAAAGCUCUGUUAAUCGGGGCGCGGUACCGGAAUAGAAAGCAACGGCUAACUACGUGCCAGCAGCCGCGGUAAUUC
rnacentral:rRNA from 1 species